ACACGUAGGGGGCGAGCGUUGUCCGGAAUUACUGGGCGUAAAGGGCGCGUAGGCGGCGAUUUAAGUCUGAUGUGAAACCCCCGGGCUUAACCCUGGGCUUGCAUUAGAAACUGAAUGGCUUGAGGGCAGGAGAGGAAAGCGGAAUUCCCAGUGUAGCGGUGAAAUGCGUAGAUAUUGGGAGGAACACCAGUGGCGAAGGCGGCUUUCUGGACUGCCCCUGACGCUGAGGCGCGAAAGCCAGGGUAGCGAACGGGAUUAGAUACCCCGGUAGUCCUGGCCGUAAACGAUGGAUACUAGGUGUGGGAGGUAUCGACCCCUUCCGUGCCGCAGCCAACGCACUAAGUAUCCCGCCUGGGGAGUACGGCCGCAAGGCUGAA
rnacentral:rRNA from 1 species